rnacentral:tRNA from 1 species
GCGGAAGUGGCGGAAUUGGCAGACGCGCUAGACUUAGGAUCUAGUGAGGCAACUCGUGGGGGUUCGAGUCCCCCCUUCCGCA